UACGUAGGGGGCAAGCGUUGUCCGGAAUCAUUGGGCGUAAAGCGCGUGUAGGCGGCUUGGUAAGUCCGUUCUGAAAGCCCGGGGCUCAACCCCGGGAGGCGGAUGGAUACUGUCAAGCUUGAGUCCGGAAGAGGCGAGUGGAAUCCCGGUGUAGCGGUGAAAUGCGCAGAUAUCGGGAGGAACACCAAUGGCGAAGGCAGCUCGCUGGGACGUGACUGACGCUGAGACGCGAAAGCGUGGGGAGCAAACAGG
rnacentral:rRNA from 1 species